CACAAUAAAAUAACAAAGAAGGUCAGCCUGCAGUCUUAAUGAUCCAGGAACAUGUGAGAAAUUGUGAAAGAGAACAAAUGCCAAGGGAAUGAAGUUAUCCAGAGCAACAGUGGGAUGAGGAACAACAUCCAUUGGUGGCUGGCUCAACAACCUACACUUCUGCCAUAGAUACCAGUGUCGUGGAAAGAUGAUUUUUCUCUCAUACUUUUAGAAAGGAGUAAUGGAGGAGUCACUCAACACUGUGAUGAUGGGACAGCUGUGAACUUACUUCAGCCCCGUGAAUACCUGCCAAUCCCCAAAUGCUAACACAGAUUUCCUUGAGGCCACGGACAAAGUCAUGGUCACUUGGUGUUCAAUGCUUAUUUUCAUGGCUGAUGUAGGCUGUAUCUACUAUCUACAUUAAUACUUCUUAAACUGUGGGUCACAACCCCAUAUGGGGUCAUGUAACUGAAAGUGGGGGUUGGGAAAAAUUUGG
rnacentral:lncRNA from 1 species